rnacentral:rRNA from 1 species
UACGUAGGGGGCAAGCGUUGUCCGGAUUCAUUGGGCGUAAAGAGCGUGUAGGCGGCCAGGUAGGUCGGUUGUGAAAACUGGAGGCUCAACCUUCAGAGGUCGACCGAAACCAUCUGGCUAGAGUCCGGGAGAGGAGAGUGGAACUCCUGGUGUAGCGGUGAAAUGCGCAGAUAUCAGGAAGAACACCCGUGGCGAAAGCGGCUCUCUGGAACGGUACUGACGCUGAGACGCGAAAGCGUGGGGAGCGAACAGG